rnacentral:rRNA from 1 species
AUUGAACGCUGGCGGCAGGCCUAACACAUGCAAGUCGAGCGAGCGGAGGACGGGUGAGUAAUGUCUGGGAAACUGCCUGAUGGAGGGGGAUAACUACUGGAAACGGUAGCUAAUACCGCAUACCAUCAGAUGUGCCCAGAUGGGAUUAGCUAGUAGGUGGGGUAACGGCUCACCUAGGCGACGAUCCCUAGCUGGUCUGAGAGGAUGACCGGCCACACUGGAACUGAGACACGGUCCAGAUUCCUGCGGGAGGCAGCAGGGGCGAGUCUUGCACCAUGGGCGACAGCCUGAUGCAGCCAUGCCGCGUGUAUGAAGAAGGCCUUCGGGUUGUAAAGUACUGUCAGCGGAGAAGCGUUACCCGGGGAGGAAGCACCGGCUAACUCCGUGCCAGCAGCCGCGGUAAUUC